rnacentral:rRNA from 1 species
UGGCGGACGGGUGAGUAAUGUCUGGGAAACUGCCCGAUGGAGGGGGGUAACUACUGGAAACGGUAGCUAAUACCGCAUAACGUCGCAAGACCAAAGAGGGGGACCUUGGGCCUCUUGCCAUCGGAUGUGCCCAGAUGGGAUUAGCUAGUAGGUGGGGUAACGGCUCACCUAGGCGACGAUCCCUAGCUGGUCUGAGAGGAUGACCAGCCACACUGGAACUGAGACACGGUCCAG